UUAAUGAGAGUUUGAUCCUGGCUCAGGACGAACGCUGGCGGCGUGCCUAAUACAUGCAAGUAGAACGCUGAUGUUUGGUGUUUACACUAGACUGAUGAGUUGCGAACGGGUGAGUAACGCGUAGGUAACCUGCCUCAUAGCGGGGGAUAACUAUUGGAAACGAUAGCUAAUACCGCAUAAGAGUAAUUAACACAUGUUAGUUAUUUAAAAGGAGCAAUUGCUUCACUGUGAGAUGGACCUGCGUUGUAUUAGCUAGUUGGUGAGGUAAAGGCUCACCAAGGCGACGAUACAUAGCCGACCUGAGAGGGUGAUCGGCCACACUGGGACUGAGACACGGCCCAGACUCCUACGGGAGGCAGCAGUAGGGAAUCUUCGGCAAUGGACGGAAGUCUGACCGAGCAACGCCGC
rnacentral:rRNA from 1 species